GUAUAAGGCUGUAUUAGGCCCCAUGGGAAAAAGAAUUUGACAUUCACAGUACUUCCAACUGGAUUUUAAUGUGGCAGGGACACAUAUGACGCCACCACUGGAUAGAAUAGCAUCCAGCCUGGAAUGAGGACCCCUAGUGGUUAAAGAUAUACAAACCUUGAUCCAGUAAAUGAGAUUGUAAUGACGAUUUGGAGCUGAAAUAUCAAUCUUGUCUGUCCUAUAUAUUUCAUCAACAAAAUAUUUUGCAUCAUAUUCACCAAGGCUCUGCAUAAUUUUAUACACAUGAAGAGUUUUUAAACUUAAUACAACAUAAGGUAACAUCUAAGCUGAAAGGGAACCUGACAAUUACUUUUCUGCUGUGUGCUGGGCUUCCUUCUCCUCCCGCCUUGUCUCAUGUGUACAUUAUUCUCAUUAGAUGAUGUUUCCCAGUUUGUCCUUCUUCAUCAAGUCUAAAUAAAUAUUUCUGACUGACUG